GGGCCCAUAGCUCAGUUGGCAGAGCUGCCGGCUCAUAACCGGUCGGUCCCUGGUUCGAGUCCAGGUGGGCCCACCG
rnacentral:tRNA from 1 species